GUGAGCACUAAGCCCAGCCUCCCACCCUCCAGGCGGUGGGCGGGUUGGAGACCAGGACUGGGAAGUCCAGGGUGGGCGGGAGGGAGGUGGCCGGGUGGGGGGAAUGGGGAGCCGGAAUGGGGUUGUCGGGCUGGGGCGAGGGCAGGAGGCAAUUUAUGUGGAGACAGGUGUUCCGUUGAAGUUUCCACCCUGGGCUGCAAGGGAGCUCCAGAAUAAGCAGUUUAGGAGGCCGAAGGGACGCAGCAAGGCCCGCGGCCAAGGCUCACCCGGCCGCGCCGCCGCCUGCAGGGGUUGGCCGCCAGAGCUGCCUUGCAAGGGGACUCAGGUGCAGAGAGAGGAGAAACUGUGGAUGCCCUGGAAUGGGCUCAUUAUAGAUGGGAAGGGACCGCAGAGCCCAGCAAGUCCAUCACAGGCUUCUCCAGAUCUGGGGAAAGAGGGCCCAGGGGAGAGUGAGGAAAAGCAAGAGGCCAGAGGGAAAACUGGGGCCGAAGCUAGUGCGGAGAUGAUAGCAGAGUCUAGAAGGGAGAUUAUGUCUGAAGAGAGGCCAGAGAUGACGGCAGAGACUAGGAGGGUGUGUGCGUCUGAAGAGAGGUUGGGGCCCACGGUCUUGAAAGAGAAGUCAGAAUUUAGUCAGAAAGAGAUAGACGAGAAGGAACUGCGCAGCGUAGGGAGUGCGUCACAGACCUCUGCAGAUAUGGGGAAAGACAGCCCAAGAGAAACUGAGGAAAAGCAAGAAGUCAGAGAGGAAACUGGGGCUGAAUCUGGUGUGGAGGUGAUAGAAGAAUCUAGGAGGGAAUCUGUGUCUGAAGAGAGGUUAGAGGUGAUAGAAGAAUCUGGGAAGGAAUCUGCAUCUGAAGAGAGGCUGGAGGUGACAGAGUCUAAGAGGGGAUCUGUGUCUGAAGAGAGGCUGGAGGUGACAGCAGAGUCUAGGAAGGAGUCUGAAGAGAGGUUGGGUUCUAUGGAGGACAAGGUAGGGACCAGUGGAGAGGAUAUGAGAUCCAGAGGGGAUCAACUGGGACAGGAUGAAGAGCUGAGAUCAAGUGGAGAGAGUCUGGAGUACAAAAGAGAGAAACGGAGGCCCACUGGAGAGAAGCGGGCACCCAUUAGAGAAAGGCGUAGGUCCAUUAUAGAGAAGCCUAUGUUCAGGGCAGAGAGGUGGGGGUCCACAUUAGAGAAGCCAAUAUUCAAGGGAGAGAGGCGGGGGUCCAUUUUAGAGAAACCGGUGCAUGGGGGAGAGAGGCGGGGGUCAGUUAUAGAGAAGCCAGUAUUCAGGACAGAGAGGCGGGGGUCCACUUUUGAGAAGCCCAUGUACAGGACAGAGAGGCAAGGCUCCACUUUUGAGAAGCCAGUAUUAAGGGGAGACAGGCAGAAAUCCAGUGCAGAUAAGUCAAAGAUGCAUCGAGAGAAACUAAGGCUCAACAGAGGAAAUUUGAGAACUGGUGAUAAAAUGGUGUCAGGUGUGGAGGAAUGGGGAUCUAGCGGGGAGAAUUUGGAGGACGGUUCAAGAAUGGAAAGUGUAAGUGAAGAGAACAUUGUAAGAAUACAAGAAGCUACUAGUGAUGAAAAAGUGAUAGAAGUUACCAAUGAGAAGAUGGAAAUUCCUUUUGAGAGUGUGGAAGAGAGAGAUGAAAAGCUAGAAGAGACUGAGGAAAGAGAAGUUGACGAAGAUGCCUUGCAUGAAACAGAAGAUAUUACUGGUGGAUCUAUUUCUAUGGGUGAGAAGGACAUGGUAGAUGAAAUAGAUGAAGAGCCCAGUGAAUAAGGCAGUUGAAAGAUUGAAGCCGAGAGAGUAUUGAAAAUAAAAGAGGAAAACUUAGAGUUAAGCACAAUGUUAUUGAUACUGAAGGGGUAAAAAGAGAGAAAAGGAGAAUCUGAGGCAAAAAGAAGAGUGGGAAUUGAAACAGUUACUGGGCAUGAAGCGGGGCCAUUACCAAGGAAAGCCAAGAAGAGAGGGAAAUGGAAGCGUUUUAAGAAGGAAGACAAGAUUGGGUAAUGAGUUUAUGGGUAAAGGAAAAUUGGAUAUGGGGUUCUUGAAAAGCUAUUUGAGAAGUGAACUACAGGUGGGCUAGAAGAAUUUCAUCUGAACAUGAUUGGGUGUACCAGAUGGAGAAGAAUGCCUAGUGAGGAAAAGCAGGAUGAGAACAGCGUAAAGGACAGAUAUUGAGGGCUUGAAGAAGAAGCAGGUUGAAGUGACCGAAAUACCUGAAAGUGGAUCCUGAAAAAUGACAGGCUUCAAAGUGACAGGAGAGGAAAUGAGCACAUUAAGAUGUGGGAGAAAAAAAAUCUCCCCAAACUCAGUUUCCUGGCUGCCAAAGCAAGCUCUGCACUUCUGCCUGGGGGUUGGGAUGAAGCUAUGAAACAACCCUUCCAUUCAUUCAGUGAAUGCUGUGGAAAAAGUGCUUCCACGGCAAGUUUUUAGGAAUAUAAAUGCCAAAAACUCCAGUGAUGUUUAUUUUGUUUCCCAAAUCUGUACCUUUCUGAGAUCAUCACUCCCAGCCUCCUCUAGUGACUCUGCAAGCUAAGGAAUUGUCAUCUCUCUUAUAAGAAACCUGUGUGGCACAAGGUUAAUGCUUGGGCAGUUUCCAUUAUGUGAAAGUCCCUUGGGUUGCACUGCACAGUGUACUAAUUAUGAUCCCAAUAAUCAGAUUUCUGGAUGACAUUUUCACCUGGGAUAUCAGAUGCAUUCCAUCAAGGCCACAGAUGGACAAAUGAAGAUCAAGACAUGGUGACAAAUGCCAGCUACUUUGCUAGCGAACCUGAAAAGCCUUUUGCCCAGCAGAGGGCAGUCACAAACUUGGCUGGGAGAAGGAGACCUGCAGGCUCGCGCGGAUCGGCCCAGCAUGCACUCAGCGUCCAGCAGAGGGCGCGAUACUUCUGUGGUGUGGGACAGCAAGGUCACGCAUAGCCCUGUAUAUUAACAACGCUGUCUUGAAGCUCUGGAAAAAGUGGUGACCAAGUGUUCAGCUACAGUCUUGUUCUGUCUUAGUCUCCAGGCUGGCAUGGAUCAGAAACGGAGGAGAAUAUUGAAGCAGCAUCCCAAAUAUUAGUUCUGAAAAACAAAUGGAUACGGAAGAACAAACGAGCACCUUGAGAUCCAACCAUGGCCCAAAGAGGCUGCAGAUGAGUUGCCACGCCCUGAGGUGCCUCUCGGGGAGCCCUGGAGGCUCUGACUGACUGGAGUCACAUGUCGGACAGGGUUGCUGACAGGGUGUUUGCUGUGCUCGUCAUCCUGUAAGUGAGACACUACACAGCAUUUGUUUGCCAAAUUGUGGUACAUUAUGCAAAUCUAAGUUAAAUUAAUACUUAGAAAUACAGAUAGGAAAAGCUAGAAAAGCCCUGUAACAAAGCAUGAUUACUGAGAUUAGAGUGCUUUGAACUUGAGCAUUAGAGAAUCUUUCGAAUUUGUAGGAUUAAGCAGGAGGCAUACCCCUCUCUUAGGAGAAACAUGCACAUUUGUAAAGGAUCCUAGCACCGGGGGAGAGGUAUUUUGGGUAGCUUGGGGUUCUUAUGAGGGAAGGAAAGAGCCAAAACAUCUCCCAAUACCAAGAGUAAAUUUCCUCUCCACAAAACACUGGAGUUUGAUUGUCUGGGUUGGUUAACUGGGCAGAAAAAUAAACUGUGAGGAAGAAACCCACGCAUGGCUCUGGAGGAAGUGGUCAGGGUGAACACCACCCAGGAGCCUCUUUGAUUUUCAAAGAGUUGAGCCCCAGACCUUGCUGUGAGAUGUGAAGAGUCACUCCAAAUUUAUAAGCUCAUUAAACAAGUACUUUUGACUGUCUACAUGUAUGGCUUUAAAAAAAUACACAGACUGCUUCCAGCCACACCUAGACCUUCUCCAACCAUUUAGCUGACAGUUUUUUCUUCUAAUUACUCAAGUGAGCGUCUCUGUUAUUUACACAGUUUGUGGAAGGCAGAGGAGAAGGGAUUUGUGGUUUAGUACCUUGGCAGGGCAUAGGGGUCAAGUUCAGCCCAUCUUCUGAAAUCAGUCUGACCUGUCAGGCUACCAGAGACCGCUGGAGUGUUGCCCGCUCCCCCAUAAGGUGUUUCCCUGAUUUGCUCUGGCUGGGAGCCAGGAACGGGUUUUGAGUUCAUUUGUGCUUCUUUACUGACCUUAUUGGUGAAUAGUGGCUGGUUUGCCUAAAAGCUCACCCCACCCUCUCUCUCUGUUUUCCUGUGAUCUUAGGGAUUGAACCCUGAGGUGCUCUACCACAUCCUGAGCUCUGUUUAUUUAAUUUUGAGACAUGGUCUCACUAAUUUGCCAGAUUGGGUUUGAACUUGUGAUCCUUCUGCCUCAGCGUCCUAAGCAGUUCCUGUCUGCAGGCCUGGGGUGGUGCCCAAGACCACAGAAGGAAUGCUCCCGACACAGUCACACAUGGUCCUGUUGGUUGGAGUUGGUCAUUCCUGACCUUGACAUCAACCAUCUUAAUCUCCAGAAAUAGGCUAAAUGCUAGUCCGGCCACUUGUGUCUCUUCAUCAUCUCCAGGGCGACUGCAUAUUUCCAGCCUCUGUGCUCCAGGAUCUAAUAAUAGGUGGGAUGAAAAGACUGUUUCCUCUGAUGCACUUUUAUGAGAUGUUUUCAAAGAGGAUGCGGUGGGGGAAUGGAUAAGCUGCUCGCUCAGUACAGUGAGGCGUCAGAAUGACGGGGCAGGGAAGCCCCACCUUCCCAGGGAGCUCUUGCUCAAGACAGCCCAGUUGUUAGAGGGCCAGGAAUCCGGGAACAUCAAGGCAGCCUCAGACCUUGUAACCUAGAUGUCAUUGUGCUUUUCAGGCAAUGAUGCCUGAUCACUGCAGGCAGAAGUGUGGCCAAAGGGCACCUAUGGGCCCGAAGCCCUUUCCACAGCAGCUCUGCUUGGGUAAUGGUGCUUCAUUAAGCCUGUGAUGUUUAGGGAUGUCAGACAUCUCCUUAACCCUGAAACACCUUUUGCUCGUGAGUGGUAAAGAGUUGGAUUUCUUAUCAGAAGAAUAUUUUAGCUAUGUGCCCUGGAGAGGAACUACUGUCCCCAUGAGGGGACAGCAAAGCCUCAAGGACAAAGGGAUUUCCUAGAGACAAUGUCAGGAAGGAGGGAGGUACAGAAGGGGACUCUGGAGUCAGCCUGGAAGUUGGGGUUGAGGGAACUCAUUAAAUCUGUUAAGAGGAGCCUAGAUGUUUUGAGCAAGAACAGGGCAGCACCAAAGCUGGGAGAGAUUGUGAAAAUGGUUCAGUGUUUCUGGAGUCUGGGAGGAGAAACUUAAUUAUGCUAUUUAAUUAAACCAAAAGGAAGGGAAUAGAAUAUUUGGUUGCCAAAAGGUGCUCUUAUAAAAAACUGUGGGCUGAGCUGCAGCACUGGGUACCAACAAAGGCAUGGGAGGCAGUGCAUCAGGAAGGACAGGCAGCAAGCUCCAUGGCUGCAGGUCAUCCUUGAUGUGUUUCUGCCAUCAGAAUUUGCCCUUGAUGUCGGGACUCUUCAUUUAUGCAUGUUUGUGCUGUUAAGAUUGUCUUCUGAGUCAUUUGAGAUUUUUAAGAAUAUGUUGCCAAAGUCAACAACCAACAGUUUAGGGUGGCCUGGUCCACCCAGGUCUGGUCCAGGAGGGUCAGGACCCUGCCUCACUCUCACCAUUUCCUGUGGCCCUUCCUCCCUACCAUCCACCACAUGGCACUCCUGGGCCACAGGUGGCUAUCAGCCUUUUGCCUUCCUCCUGCAAAGUUGGGCUCUUCACUUGGGGAGUGUGUGUAUACUCACACAUGUACAUGCUCGCUCACAAGUGUGUGUGCACACUCGCACACAUGCCCAAGUGGGUGGGGAGGAGAGAGUUCUGUUCCCUUGUGGUGAUUGCCACCAACCAAUCAGCUGGACUCUGAGCCGAGCCAAAGUGAAGCAAGAGCGACAUCGGGUGCCAAGAACAAGAGCUUGCUGUGAUAUCAGGUGUUUUCUGGCCUCAGUGUGUAGGAGCAGAGAGAAAGGCUUGGCUCAUUCCAGAGCCUUCACUCCUAGGGAGCAAGGAGUUUCUGGAUGGGGCUUCAUGUCAGUAUUCUGCUCUGCUCGUUUGCAUGAGGGAAUUAGACGCAGACUUGAGGCUUUGAAUGGAUUUUUAAAAUAAAAAUCAAGGCAAAGGUUUUGUUGGCUAGAACAUGACACAGGGACCCAGGUCAACAUUCUAACCCUGUACCUGCCUGCAGUGUCCUCUGGAGGAUAACUGUGCCGAUGUCUUUAGUGGACUACGUAAAAGUCUGACCUAGUUCACAGAGGUGGCGUGUUUGCUCUGGAGGCUGCUCCUGGGGCAGGCUUCCUGUAGCUAGAGUCAACCUCAUUUAGCCAGAGGUAGGGAGCUAAAAGGUAUUCCUGUGGAAUGGCUCCCUGAGAAGGGCUGGCCUGGCUUCCACAAAGAUGCUUUGGGGGACAGGAUGUCAUGGGCUACCUAAAGAGGAUCCCCCCAUGCAGGUGGGAAAGAAUAUGGUCAUGUUAUUUGCCAUUCAGCUGGUCCUUCUUCUUAGCUGGAGCCUGCUUGGCUUUUUCCUUCAUGGAAGAUAAGGCGGGGAAGAGGUUUGUUUGUCCAGAUGCCACCAGUCGGAUGACUAUUGCAGGCACAGGAGUGUCUCCAGGGCACAGUGCCAGGCCAGGUCCCACCUAAUGUCUCUAUUCCUCAUCCAGGAGUGCUGUAAUCAGCAGGUUGAUGCAAAACUGGGAAGGGUUGAGAAACCCCUUGGGCAGGAGAUUUCGAAAUGAGAUUCGGAUUAGAAGAAACAUAGUGGGUGGGGUUUUAAAGAUUGAAGGAGACAGGACAAACUCCCCUCCCAACACUGACACUCCGCUGGAUAGCGGGGAUACACAGAAGAGCCUAGAAUGGGGAGGCAGCAGCACAGGGCUGUGAGGCAGCAGAGAGUUCUGAGUGCUGUUUCCUGACCACCUAUCCCCACCCUUGACAAGGAGCCCUGUGUCUGUCCAUUCACCAGGCAAAACCACCCCUGCCACAGUGCUUUCUGUCUAGGGCAUGUCAGCACCAGCUAGGGGUAGAUAGAUAAAGCCAUGGAGAAGCGAGGGAGGAGGGUGCUGGCAGGAGUGGUAGGAGGAGAACUUGACUAUGUUGGACAAGGCAAAGAAGGGGUUAGUCCCCAGUACCGAAAGGAAAAAACAAACAAACAAACAAAAAACCCCAAGGGUGAACGAGCCUGUGACCCCAUAGCCUUUGUCCCCCCCAGUGGGAAGGGGCAGCUCCCUCCUUGGGUGGCCAGCAGCUGUCACACUGUCUGUGCCCCCUCACCACAUGAUCCUAUCUGAGGUUGGGCUCAGGACACCAGGCAUUGUGUGGCUCCUGGCAGAUGCCCACGAUAUGACGAACCCAGAGGAAGUUGCUGGCUGGAUCUGAAGCCAGAGACAGAGGUGGACUUGAGAAAAAGAAGGAAAUGGAGGAAGUAAGGGAGGAAGAGCGAUGCAAAGGAUCCCAAAAAAGGAAAAAAAGGAACUAAGAAGGAAAGGCAGGAGAAGUGGCAUUCUAGAAGGAGCAAAGAAGCAAGAAAAGAAGACAAAAAAGAGGAUUAUGUCUCAUUUGAAGGAAUUAAGAGUGGCAUAGUCAAGAAUGAGUCUCAGGCCUUAGAAAGCUUGUCAUGAUGAAUAAAUCAUUCCAUUCAGGUGGCUUGAUGAUGGUGGUACUCUUUGAAGAAGUCAGGACCAUACAGUGUAAAAGCCAAGAGUGGGGCUGUAAGAACUAGCUGACCAGCUCUAAACAAGAGGGGCUUAUGAUUCAUGCCCGUACAUACCUGCCUCGUGCAGGGUGGGGACCCAUCUAACCUGAAUCACUGCCCAGCCCCUCCCAGUCUCCUUAGAUGACAAGCUGUGGCAUCCUUGGUCCACCCAACUCACCCCCAAGCAUUUUUCCAGAACAGUAAACAAGUACAGGUGAGGAAGGUCACAGAUCUUUUGGUUUGGGGCCAUUUUCUCCUCCCUCUCAGUGCUCACCAUGUGACUAACCAGGGGUUUCUCAUCAGGGGCUUUUUAGUCUUUCUUCAAAGUGGUCAGAAGGUUGCCAGAUGCAUUCCUCUGAGCUCAAAGUUUAUUUCUGUAUUCUAUUAUGGACUGGGAAAUCCAAGGUUGCCUGAAACAUAUGGGAAAAUCGUCUCUCAUUUUUAGCAUGCCCAGUGUUUUCAACAGUUGAUGCAAAGUUGACCACAGCUGAUCACCUUUCUUGCCAAAAUUAAACCAGAGAUGAAUGUCAUUAACUAUUACCUCCAACAUUUGUUUAGAGGUUUAUACUUUCUAAGCAACUCAUUUUAUUUAAUCUCUGUAAUAAUCCUGCAUUACUGUUAUUCUGCAUUAUAGACAUUGAGUCUCAGAAAAGGUAAUUUUUUAUUAAUAAAUUUUAUUUUAUCCCAUUUCCCCCUCCUGCCCCCUCCCCUCGCUUUGUACAAAAGCUUUGUUUCCAUUUUUUUCCUUCUAUUUUCAUUUUUUUCAGAAAGGUAAUUUUUCCCCAGAGUCUAAAUUCCUUGGGUUCAAACAGUUCACCCUGAAUCAGGUAUAGUGGGGUACACCUGUAAUCUCAGCCCUCUGGGAGGGUGAAACAAGAGGAUCACAAGUUUGAGUCCAGCCUAGACAACUUACUGACCUAGUGAGAUCCUGUCUCAAAAUAAAAGAAUAAAAAAGGGUUGGGGGUGUAGCUUAGUAUAUAAGCCCUGGGUUUAAUCCCCAGUGCCACAAACAAAACAACACAACCAGGAUAUCCUCUGACGCAAAUCCUUGGUGCUUCCUAUACAAUGUUAUCAAACUCUUUAGAGUUCAGAGUGACAUCAAGGGCAGAUUCUGGUGAUCUUUCCUCAAUUUGUUCUCUCACUCUUCUUACCACCCAUUCACUUUCUGCCCUAUUUCUAUGACCAUCCAGUGGGAAAAGAGUACACUUCUCAGGGAAGAACAUCUACAUAAAGCAAAGGACUCUAACAUUUCCUUUGCCAAGGGCCCUUUCUUUCUCCAAAGUUUCUUUCAUGACAAAAGCAAUAGGAGAAUAUUGUAGAAAAAGUACAAAAUCUAGAAAAACAAGAAGA
ensembl:lncRNA